rnacentral:rRNA from 1 species
GACGAACGCUGGCGGCGUGCCUAAUACAUGCAAGUUGAGCGCUGAAGGUUGGUACUUGUACCAACUGGAUGAGCAGCGAACGGGUGAGUAACGCGUGGGGAAUCUGCCUUUGAGCGGGGGACAACAUUUGGAAACGAAUGCUAAUACCGCAUAAAAACUUUAAACACAGGUUUUAAGUUUUAAAGAUGCAAUGGCAUCACUCAAAGAUGAUCCCGCUUUGUAUUAGCUAGUUGGUGAGGUAAAGGCUCACCAAGGCGAUGAUACGUAGCCGACCUGAGAGGGUGAUCGGCCACAUUGGGACUGAGACACGGCCCAAACUCCUACGGGAGGCAGCAGUAGGGAAUCUUCGGCAAUGGACGAAAGUCUGACCGAGCAACGCCGCGUGAGUGAAGAAGGUUUUCGGAUCGUAAAACUCUGUUGGUAGAGAAGAACGUUGGUGAGAGUGGAAAGCUCAUCAAGUGACGGUAACUACCCAGAAAGGGACGGCUAACUACGUG